rnacentral:ncRNA from 1 species
GUCUGACACGCGCCGACGGUAGCCAGUCUGGCUCCAACAUACGGCCGCGGUGCAAUGAC